CCUACGGGGGGCAGCAGUGGGGAAUAUUGCACAAUGGGCGAAAGCCUGAUGCAGCAACGCCGCGUGAGCGAUGAAGGUCUUCGGGUCGUAAAGCUCUGUCCUAAGGGAAGAAUACUGACGGUACCUUAGGAGGAAGCCCCGGCUAACUACGUGCCAGCAGCCGCGGUAAUACGUAGGGGGCUAGCGUUAUCCGGAAUUACUGGGCGUAAAGGGUGCGUAGGCGGCCCUUCAAGUCAGAGGUGAAAGGCUACGGCUCAACCGUAGUAAGCCUUUGAGACUGUAGGGCUUGAGUGCAGGAGAGGUACGUGGAAUUCCCAGUGUAGCGGUGAAAGGUGUAGAGAUGGGGAGGAUCGCCAGUUGCGAAGGCGCCUCUCUGGACUGUAGCUGACGCUGAGGCACGAAAGUGUGGGGGGCGAACAGGAUUAGAUACCCUUGUAGUC
rnacentral:rRNA from 1 species